GUCUACGGCUAUACCACCCUGAACACGCCCGAUCUCGUCUGAUCUCGGAAGCUGAGGAGUAUAGGACAACAGAACUGACAUGCUAAGAAUGCAACAUUCUCUUUAAAUAAACAUUCGUUUAGCUGCAACUA
rnacentral:rRNA from 1 species